AGAUUGAACGCUGGCGGCAUGCCUUACACAUGCAAGUCGAACGGCAGCACGGGAGCAAUCCUGGUGGCGAGUGGCGAACGGGUGAGUAAUACAUCGGAACGUGCCCAAUCGUGGGGGAUAACGCAGCGAAAGCUGUGCUAAUACCGCAUAAGAUCUACGGAUGAAAGCAGGGGAUCGCAAGACCUUGCGCGAAUGGAGCGGCCGAUGGCAGAUUAGGUAGUUGGUGAGGUAAAGGCUCACCAAGCCUUCGAUCUGUAGCUGGUCUGAGAGGACGACCAGCCACACGUGGGACUGAGACACGGCCCAGACUCCGUACGGGAGGCAGGCAGGUUAGGGGGUAAUUUUGGAACAAGUAGGGCGAAAGCCUGAUCCAGCCAUCGCCGCGUGCAGGAGUAGAACGGCCUUUACGGUU
rnacentral:rRNA from 1 species